CAAAAUUCCAUUUGGGAAAGGAAAUAAAACCUGCAGACCAGAAUGUGGGGACCUUGUUGGGGGGCACAGAAGAAGGAGAACAGCCAAUCCCCUUGAGGAAGGACUCAGGACAGCAAGAGAUGCGAUAGGCCCUAGAUCACUGGGGUGGAAGUUGGAGGGCCCAGGAAGGACAGCUCCCCCAGACACAGCCAAGCAGCACACCUGGAGGUGGUCUCGGAUGUAACUGGCAAAGAUACCCUAAAGACCGAGUGAAAGGGCUGGGGAUUUAGCUCAGUGGUUCGGUGGCCUGCCUUGCAAGCGCAAGGACUCGAGUUCAAUCCCCGGUACCAAAAAAAAAGACCGAGUGAAAGGCAGUAGAAACAAGUAUGCCCUCUGGUGUUGACUAUGGAUUUGCCAUAUUCUCAACUAAGAAGAGCAACAUACUUAUCCCUAUGUGUCUCAAUCCUGGCCUGAGGACAGCUGUCUCAGAAUCGCCCAGAGGGGUCUGAGAAAAAUGCAGCUUCAGGGCUCCACCCCAAGCUCUCCAACUAAAUGAAUCCAGGGGCAAUCCAGGAAAGAUGGAGAAGCUUGUGUCAUCCCAAGCUCUAAAAUGUGGCUGUAGGACAUGGUCCCCAAAUAAAGCCAAAGA